rnacentral:rRNA from 1 species
GACGAACGCUGGCGGCGUGCCUAAUACAUGCAAGUUGAGCGCUGAAGGUUGGUACUUGUACCAACUGGAUGAGCAGCGAACGGGUGAGUAACGCGUGGGGAAUCUGCCUUUGAGCGGGGGACAACAUUUGGAAACGAAUGCUAAUACCGCAUAAAAACUUUAAACACAAGUUUUAAGUUUGAAAGAUGCAAUUGCAUCACUCAAAGAUGAUCCCGCGUUGUAUUAGCUAGUUGGUGAGGUAAAGGCUCACCAAGGCGAUGAUACAUAGCCGACCUGAGAGGGUGGUCGGCCACAUUGGGACUGAGACACGGCCCAAACUCCUACGGGAGGCAGCAGUAGGGAAUCUUCGGCAAUGGACGGAAGUCUGACCGAGCAACGCCGCGUGAGUGAAGAAGGUUUUCGGAUCGUAAAACUCUGUUGGUAGAGAAGAACGUUGGUGAGAGUGGAAAGCUCAUCAAGUGACGGUAACUACCCAGAAAGGGACGGCUAACUACGUG